CCUUAGAUCGUACCCACAUUUACUUGGAUAACUGUGGUAAUUCUAGAGCUAAUACAUGCAAACCAGAGUUCCGACCAGAGAUGGAAGGAACGCUUUUAUUAGAUCAAAACCAAUCGGUGGCGGGUUCGCGCUCGUCCACCGUUUACUUUGGUGACUCUGAAUAACUUUGAGCUGAUCGCACGGUCUUGCACCGGCGACGCAUCUUUCAAAUGUCUGCCUUAUCAACUGUCGAUGGUAGGUUCUGCGCCUACCAUGGUUGUAACGGGUAACGGGGAAUCAGGGUUCGAUUCCGGAGAGGGAGCCUGAGAAACGGCUACCACAUCCAAGGAAGGCAGCAGGCGCGCAAAUUACCCACUCCCGGCACGGGGAGGUAGUGACGAAAAAUAACGAUACGGGACUCAUCCGAGGCCCCGUAAUCGGAAUGAGUACACUUUAAAUCCUUUAACGAGGAUCCAUUGGAGGGCAAGUCUGGUGCCAGCAGCCGCGGUAAUUCCAGCUCCAAUAGCGUAUAUUAAAGUUGUUGCGGUUAAAAAGCUCGUAGUUGAAUCUGUGUGCCACGCUGUCGGUUCAUCGCUCGCGAUGUUUAACUGACAUGAUUGUGGGACGUCCUACCGGUGGGCUUAGCCUCUCGGGGCGGCCCAGCUAAUAUCCCAUCGCGGUGCUCUUCAUCGAGUGUCGAGGUGGGCCGGUACGUUUACUUUGAACAAAUUAGAGUGCUCAAAGCAGGCUAUGUUCGCCUGAAUACUGUGUGCAUGGAAUAAUGGAAUAGGACCUCGGUUCUAUUUUGUUGGUUUUCGGAACCCCGAGGUAAUGAUUAAUAGGGACAGAUGGGGGCAUUCGUAUUGCGACGUUAGAGGUGAAAUUCUUGGAUCGUCGCAAGACGGACAGAAGCGAAAGCAUUUGCCAAAAAUGUUUUCAUUAAUCAAGAACGAAAGUUAGAGGUUCGAAGGCGAUCAGAUACCGCCCUAGUUCUAACCAUAAACGAUGCCAGCUAGCGAUCCGCCGAAGUUCCUCCGAUGACUCGGCGGGCAGCUUACGGGAAACCAAAGCUUUUGGGUUCCGGGGGAAGUAUGGUUGCAAAGCUGAAACUUAAAGGAAUUGACGGAAGGGCACCACCAGGAGUGGAGCCUGCGGCUUAAUUUGACUCAACACGGG
rnacentral:rRNA from 1 species